UUUUUUUUAGUAUAUUAGUACAUCAGACUUCCAAUUUGAAAGACUAGAUUUCUAGAAAAAUAG
rnacentral:tRNA from 1 species